rnacentral:rRNA from 1 species
UGGGGAAUAUUGCGCAAUGGGCGAAAGCCUGACGCAGCGACGCCGCGUGUGGGAGGAAGCCCUUCGGGGUGUAAACCACUGUCAGAGGGGAAGAACCGCGUCUUGUCGAAUAGGCUGGGCGUCUGACGGUACCCUCAAAGGAAGCGCCGGCUAACUCCGUGCCAGCAGCCGCGGUAAGACGGAGGGCGCAAGCGUUGUUCGGAAUUACUGGGCGUAAAGCGCGGGCAGGUGGUCUGUUAAGUCGUUUGUGAAAAUCCGGGGCUCAACCCCGUGAAAUGCAGACGAUACUGGCAGGCUGGAGAUCGGUAGAGGCUAGCGGAAUUCCUGGUGUAGCGGUGGAAUGCGUAGAUAUCAGGAAGAACACCCGUGGCGAAGGCGGCUAGCUGGGCCGAGUCUGACACUCAUCCGCGAAAGCGUGGGGAGCAAACAGGAUUAGAUACCCCCGUAGUCC